GAAAAUUGUGGUUAUCGUCUGUAACAUUUUUAUAAUACCUUUGGAACCAAAAGAAAGCAACGUAGCAGAGCAGAGCCACCAGCUACAGCUUACAACUCAGCAACUCCACCUUCAUUUGCUAGGUAAAUUCUCCGUUUUUUCUUUUCCUCACACAGUAGAUUUCUCUAAAACCACUCGUUUUUGUUUACUUCUUUCAAAUUGCACUUUAUUGAAUACCUGACGAGUUGUUUUGUUAAUUAUUACAAAAUCACCCCAUUUGGCUUUUCAGUUAAUUUUGAAAAGGGUUUUUUUUGGGGUUCUUUUGAGUGAGGUAUAUUGGAGGCUAGUAUGUUGUUGAGUGAAUUUCUGUUUAAUUUGUUAUGGCUUUAGGUUCUUCUUCUCUAGAUCGAGCUGUUUUGUUUGCUUUUGAAUUUGUUAAGACUUCAAAUGUGAACAUUCUUCUUUUAAGGAGCUUCUGAGAUCUAUCAAAAUAUAUUUCUUUGGUAUGUUUUUAUUAGUACCAACCCUUUAAUAAUUUAUUAUUGCCUUUUUUUUUUCUUUUUGUGAUGCAGAUAAGGAGCUCAAGUUGUAGAUAUUCGUGCCGCAGAGAAAAAGGAAUGGAAAACUUGAAUCAAAGAGUUUUAAUAUCUCCCUGAUCAGCACUCACAAUAAGAAAUUCAACCCCAAGAUUUUUCCUUUCAAUCGAAAAGAGCUGGUUCUGUUGCUGUUAUCAUUAUGAGUUCUUCAAUUGAUUGAGAUUUUGGACUCUUUAAUAUAGUGACGAUGAUGGGAUAAUAAUUUAAGUUCCUUCCACGGAUUUGAGCUUAAUACAAUAAAUCCCACUUGGAAUUUCUUCACUGCUACUACUGCAAAUAAGUUACUGCAGGGGAACUAUCCUAUCUACAAUGGCUGGGAAUUGAAUCCCAUCUCUCGGGGAGAGGCUGCUUCUAUUUCAAGCUAAAAUGAUUGACCAGUUUAUUAAUUUUGUCAUUCGCCCACCCAGGUACAUUUAUCUAUGAAACUUGUUCUCUAAUUUUUGAAUCUUUUUCAGUAGUGCUGUUUGAGUUUUUAUUCUGUACUGU
rnacentral:lncRNA from 1 species